rnacentral:rRNA from 1 species
UGCCCAGACUCCUACGGGAGGCAGCAGUAGGGAAUAUUGCUCAAUGGGGGAAACCCUGAAGCAGCAACGCCGCGUGGAGGAUGAAGGUUUUCGGAUUGUAAACUCCUUUUGUUAGAGAAGAUAAUGACGGUAUCUAACGAAUAAGCACCGGCUAACUCCGUGCCAGCAGCCGCGGUAAUACGGAGGGUGCAAGCGUUACUCGGAAUCACUGGGCGUAAAGAGCGCGUAGGCGGGAUAGCAAGUCAGAUGUGAAAUCCUAUGGCUUAACCAUAGAACUGCAUUUGAAACUGGCAAACUGGAGUGUGUGAGAGGAUAGUGGAAUUCCAGGUGUAGGAGUGAAAUCCGUAGAUAUCUGGAGGAACAUCAGUGGCGAAGGCGACUAUCUGGCACAUAACUGACGCUGAGGAGCGAAAGCGUGGGUAGCAAACAGGAUUAGAUACCCUAGUA